rnacentral:lncRNA from 1 species
AUGAUGACAGGAUACCUCAAAUAUAAAGGAGUGCAUGCCUGUGAAGAAAGAGUUGGGAAGGCAUUGCAGGCAAUUCAACCUCAAAACCAUGAAGCACGUCAACAUGGGGCCCGAAACCUUAACCCGACACCAUACAGAGCAGAUUAUAUGGGCCAGAAAAUACAUAUUGAUCAAAACGAAAAAAUGGUGAUGUAUGGGGUCACGCAUGUUGUGGCUAUUGAUGGUUUCAGCGGAAAACUUGUGGCACAUUCCACUAUGCCCAUUAAGAACAAUCUUACAAUCUAUGAUGAGAUUUACAGAAAAGCGGUUCUUGAACAUGGCAUGUGGGACCAGAUUCGGGUUGACUGUGGAACAGAAUUUUAUCUUACACUUUUUAUGCAAGAGAAGUUGGCUGGGUACCGUUACAAUCAGAGUCAACCACCAUUCCUUCAGACACCUUCAACUUUAAAUCAUCGCAUUGAGAGAGUCUGGCCAGAGGUGAACAACAGGGUAAACUAUCCAAUUAAAAGAUGCCUAAUGAACCUGGAAGAUCAGGAAAUCAUAAAUUUUGGGGACGACACUGUAAAAUUCUGCAUAUCCACUCUGGCAGAGGAAUACCUAACCAACUGGCGCAGACAGGCUGUCCAAACAAGGUGACUGAAACCUUACUGCUCAGUGCGUCUGUGGCGGCUGACCUAUAUGAGGCAGAGAGACAGUCAUCAUUGACAAGAAUGUCCUCUUUUGGCCAAAAUCCCUUCCACACUCCAGAAGAACAACAGCAUGCAGAGCUACGUUUUGCUCAGUCAUUUCCAGACACAACAGUGAUUUGGGAGUGCAUUACAAGAGGUGAACCCACAAUGUUCCAGGAUGCACUGUUGUUUCUGAUUAAUCUGUUGUCCUGAUCUGAGAAAACCUGUCUGUAGCUCUUUUAGCAAAUUAUUUUCAAAUAAUUUAAGCAUUGUUUCUAUGCUGAAAAAUAUUAAAUGUUCUAUAAUGUUCAGCCUUGAAGAUGUUAAAGAUUUUGUGAUUUGGCAGAUGCUUUUACCAAAGUGACUUGGAAAGGUGUAUUAUAAAAUUGUUUAAAAGAAUAUUUGUUGAAAUUGUUUUAAGAAAACUUGGAAAAUAAACAUAGGUUAGAAAAAACA